rnacentral:rRNA from 1 species
GACGAACGCUGGCGGCGUGGAUUAGGCAUGCAAGUCGAACGGUAGGAUACCUUCGGGUAUCUGAGAGUGGCGAACGGGUGAGUAACACGUAGGUGAUCUACCCUCAAGAUUGGGACAACCCAGGGAAACUUGGGCUAAUACCGGAUGAAAGCAGCAGCGAUGUUGUUUGAAAGGUGGCGUAAGCUGCCGUUUGGGGAUGAGCCUGCGCUCUAUUAGUUAGUUGGCGGGGUAAAGGCCCACCAAGGCGAUGAUAGAUAGGCGGCCUUAACGGGUGGUCGCCCACACUGGGAUUGAGAUACGGCCCAGACUCCUACGGGAGGCAGCAGUCGAGAAUAGUCUACAAUGGCCGAAAGGCUGAUAGUGCGACGCCGCGUGAACGAAGAAGCCCUUCGGGUGUAAAGUUCUUUUAUAUGUGAGCAGUGCUUUCUAUGUGAACAGCAUGGGGAGAGAGAUAUUAGCAUAUGAAUAAGCAACGGCUAACUCCGUGCCAGC